rnacentral:lncRNA from 1 species
AUGAGCAGCAGAGAAGUGGCACAUGGUGGUUGCGGGGUUGGCAGACCUCAGCUACUACAGCGUCAGCGUGACCCGGCACAAGAGAAUUCCCUUCAUCUCCUCCAUCUAAAACACUCACCACACACGCCGCUACCUGGUAGAGCCAUCUGUUUUGAUUGGUCAAAAGCUGCACUUUACAGUAAUGUAUCAGUUUAACUCCACAGAGUGUGAUAGCCAAGGGCAACAGUUAUUUUUGAACUUCAGUCAGUAGAACUUUCUGUGCUCAAAAUCAACUCAGCGGCACCUCUGAAAUGAACCACACGACGACAUUUAAAUUUCCAUGGAUCCUCUGCCAGAGUGAUGAGCCAGCAAACGAUACAGAGGACUACUUCCUGUCUCCACUAGCUUCCUGCAAAUACUCACUCAUAU